AGAGUUUGAUCAUGGCUCAGAUUGAACGCUGGCGGCAGGCCUAACACAUGCAAGUCGAACGGUAACAGGAAGCAGCUUGCUGCUUUGCUGACGAGUGGCGGACGGGUGAGUAAUGUCUGGGAAACUGCCUGAUGGAGGGGGAUAACUACUGGAAACGGUGGCUAAUACCGCAUAACGUCGCAAGACCAAAGAGGGGGACCUUCGGGCCUCUUGCCAUCAGAUGUGCCCAGAUGGGAUUAGCUUGUUGGUGAGGUAACGGCUCACCAAGGCGACGAUCCCUAGCUGGUCUGAGAGGAUGACCAGCCACACUGGAACUGAGACACGGUCCAGACUCCUACGGGAGGCAGCAGUGGGGAAUAUUGCACAAUGGGCGCAAGCCUGAUGCAGCCAUGCCGCGUGUAUGAAGAAGGCCUUCGGGUUGUAAAGUACUUUCAGCGGGGAGGAAGGUGUUGUGGUUAAUAACCGCAGCAAUUGACGUUACCCGCAGAAGAAGCACCGGCUAACUCCGUGCCAGCAGCCGCGGUAAUACGGAGGGUGCAAGCGUUAAUCGGAAUUACUGGGCGUAAAGCGCACGCAGGCGGUCUGUCAAGUCGGAUGUGAAAUCCCCGGGCUCAACCUGGGAACUGCAUUCGAAACUGGCAGGCUUGAGUCUUGUAGAGGGGGGUAGAAUUCCAGGUGUAGCGGUGAAAUGCGUAGAGAUCUGGAGGAAUACCGGUGGCGAAGGCGGCCCCCUGGACAAAGACUGACGCUCAGGUGCGAAAGCGUGGGGAGCAAACAGGAUUAGAUACCCUGGUAGUCCACGCCGUAAACGAUGUCUACUUGGAGGUUGUGCCCUUGAGGCGUGGCUUCCGGAGCUAACGCGUUAAGUAGACCGCCUGGGGAGUACGGCCGCAAGGUUAAAACUCAAAUGAAUUGACGGGGGCCCGCACAAGCGGUGGAGCAUGUGGUUUAAUUCGAUGCAACGCGAAGAACCUUACCUGGUCUUGACAUCCACGGAACUUUCCAGAGAUGGAUUGGUGCCUUCGGGAACCGUGAGACAGGUGCUGCAUGGCUGUCGUCAGCUCGUGUUGUGAAAUGUUGGGUUAAGUCCCGCAACGAGCGCAACCCUUAUCCUUUGUUGCCAGCGGUCCGGCCGGGAACUCAAAGGAGACUGCCAGUGAUAAACUGGAGGAAGGUGGGGAUGACGUCAAGUCAUCAUGGCCCUUACGACCAGGGCUACACACGUGCUACAAUGGCGCAUACAAAGAGAAGCGACCUCGCGAGAGCAAGCGGACCUCAUAAAGUGCGUCGUAGUCCGGAUUGGAGUCUGCAACUCGACUCCAUGAAGUCGGAAUCGCUAGUAAUCGUGGAUCAGAAUGCCACGGUGAAUACGUUCCCGGGCCUUGUACACACCGCCCGUCACACCAUGGGAGUGGGUUGCAAAAGAAGUAGGUAGCUUAACCUUCGGGAGGGCGCUUACCACUUUGUGAUUCAUGACUGGGGUGAAGUCGUAACAAGGUAACCGUAGGGGAACCUGCGGUUG
rnacentral:rRNA from 2 species